rnacentral:rRNA from 1 species
UACGUAGGGCGCAAGCGUUGUCCGGAAUUAUUGGGCGUAAAGAGCUCGUAGGCGGUUUGUCGCGUCUGCUGUGAAAACCUGAGGCUCAACCUCGGGCUUGCAGUGGGUACGGGCAGACUAGAGUGCGGUAGGGGUGACUGGAAUUCCUGGUGUAGCGGUGGAAUGCGCAGAUAUCAGGAGGAACACCGAUGGCGAAGGCAGGUCACUGGGCCGCAACUGACGCU